rnacentral:lncRNA from 1 species
AAUAUUAGUCGAUAUUUAGUGACAUUCUUUAUAAGUAAUGUUUAAUCUAGAACUAAACACUAUUACGAAGGUUGUCUUCUCUAAGAACCCUACCAAUCUCUCCCCUUUCCUCAACCCCAAUUAGGCGUCCCCCGUUUUAUGUUCACUAAACCGCGGAGCUCGCCAUGUGGUGCAGAGAAUUGAAAGGGAAAACUACAUGGGUGUUAGAUUGUCCUAGAAUUCUAAACAUGACAGAAGGUCACCAAAAUUUAGGCCGCCUUUUAUACAUAAUCGACUGGCAUAUUUAAUCUAUUCUCUGUAAUUCUCAAAUAUCUGGUCGAAGAUAUUAAGAUUUUGGUAAGUAUUUUUUUGUUCUAAUCUGUUGUUCACUGGAUUGAAUUUUUGGUUAACUGCAUUUAAAGGUUUUGCUACCUUUUCUUUUAUUUCCGUCGUAUUCUAUUCAUAUCAAUUGUUUGAGCAAAUGCCUUAGAGGAUUAAAUAAAAUUUAAUGGACUAGCUUUGUGUUAUUAACAUGAGGUUAAAGUUUUUACUUCCUUUGAUUCAUCUUUUCAUGUUGAACUGAUUUUGUACUGGUAGUGAUGAGAUUAUUAACAUUAUCUUGCUGUUCAAUUAUUCUUACUACUAUAGAACCUUGAAUCCAUUUACUAGUACAUACGACAUUCAUCAAACGACGCAAAAAGGUAAUGAAGUAAAUUAUAGGAAUAUCUUUGCUUCAACUAGAUAGUUUAUUUGAUUAUUUGUUACUGACAAACUAUUCUAUAUUGAGCCAAUGAAAUGGCACUCUGUAUUGUUUUCCUAUAAAAGAGAAAACAACUAAAUAUUAAAUUGAUUUGAAAUGUCUGAUAAGAUAUGGAUUACUAGUUUAAUCUUGAUCUUGGUAUUUUUGACAUGUUAAAACUUUUUUAACGUGUUGAACCUUUUUCGCUGCUGAAUCAUGUGAUGUUGGUUCCUACAUACGAAUAUUAUAUAGUAACUUGUCUUGUGUUAGAAUUAUUGUGGUUGUGCUUGAUGGCGACUCUAAUCCAAACAACACGAUAAAUUAGAUUGGAAAAGAAUCUAGUCUGUGAUGGUUGACUGGAAAAGAAGCUUGUAGAUACUUGUUUAUGAAGGGAAGGUAAAUGACCAUUAUGAUUAUGUGUUUGAUAAUUUAGAUUGUGGAUGGUGUAGGGUAUCUUGUGAAUAUCAGCUUUAUUGACAAUUUAUGUUGGAUAAGGAACAUUGACAUUGAUGUUAGGACUGAAAUUGAUCAAUCAUUCUGUUGAAUUCAAGAGUAGAGAAGGAAUUAGUAAGCCUGUACAAUGAUACUAGAGAUUGCUAGUUCCUUUUCUGCACUGUUACGAGUUUUGGGUUCAAAAAUCUUGAGCUUUCUGCAAAAUUAUUAUUAUUUGCUUCAAGUUGAUUAAAAAUUCUAUUUUGUCAAGGUGAUCUUGAUAUCGUUUCUUUCUACAUAUGAUAUCUUAACACUGGAGAAUAAUAUUUUUAUGUUAUUUCUCUUUGAUUUUGCUUAUAGAAAGUAUUAUCCACCAUUCUCAGGACAAUAAAAUAUGGCAAUUAGGAAAAGAUUGCAAAAGAUAUUCACCUAACGGCUGGUUGAGAAGGGUACAUCAUUUGUGAAACACUUCCUACAGUUGUAUGUAACUCCAUCUCUAUUAGUGGAAUGAUAUUUUCCAUAAGCUAAUGAUGCCAAAUUGAUUUAGUUCUCUUAAGCUUCUACUAUUGAAUGUGGGUUUAUGUUUUCUUGCAGAUAGUAGUAGUCGCAUGACCCCUGUAUUUCUUUAAGAUAUUAUAUGAGGUAGAAUCGCAUUGUUCUUUUUGCUACUCAGUAGUUUUACUAAAUCAGUUUAGUAAUGGUUCUUUUCUUUUUCAAUUUCAGUUCUUAGAAGAAGAGAGUAAUGUGAGAGCAACUAAUUCAGAGGAAUCCUGGACAUGAGAAAAACAUGUACACUAAAUCUAAAACUAUGACCGACGAUGAUUGUUUUGGGACUUUCAAGGGAAAGUUUUUGUAAUUGAAUGUGUAAAUAUGUGUUUGAUUCAAAUUGUUUAUACUGUACUGGGAAUUAAAGUAUUGGAAUGAGCAUUGAUGUUACUUAGAAUACAUUAUUGUUAAUUAAUUAUUUUCUUUUAAUAUUUA